AUUGAACGCUGGCGGCAGGCCUAACACAUGCAAGUCGAGCGGUAGCACAGGAGAGCUUGCUCUCUGGGUGACGAGCGGCGGACGGGUGAGUAAUGUCUGGGAAACUGCCUGAUGGAGGGGGAUAACUACUGGAAACGGUAGCUAAUACCGCAUAACGUCGCAAGACCAAAGAGGGGGACCUUCGGGCCUCUUGCCAUCAGAUGUGCCCAGAUGGGAUUAGCUAGUAGGUGGGGUAACGGCUCACCUAGGCGACGAUCCCUAGCUGGUCUGAGAGGAUGACCAGCCACACUGGAACUGAGACACGGUCCAGACUCCUACGGGAGGCAGCAGUGGGGAAUAUUGCACAAUGGGCGCAAGCCUGAUGCAGCCAUGCCGCGUGUAUGAAGAAGGCCUUCGGGUUGUAAAGUACUUUCAGCGGGGAGGAAGGCGAUAAGGUUAAUAACCUUGUCGAUUGACGUUACCCGCAGAAGAAGCACCGGCUAACUCCGUGCCAGCCGCCGCAGUAAGAC
rnacentral:rRNA from 1 species